rnacentral:lncRNA from 1 species
AGGUCCUGCUGCAACUUGAAUUGGCAACUCUUUCUGGGUGGGGAUUCUCUGGUGAAAACCUCCAGGGGAAAAAAAAGUAAUAAAGGAAGCUAUCCUUGGUCAAAAGAAUGUAAUUUAAGCUCCAGAAUCACACUAUUUUGCAAAUAGUGGUUUUCCCCUAUAUUGGACUCAAUUGGAGUUUGUAUUUUUGAAACAUUAAUUCAUAACUUGUGUCUAGGGACCCCUCCAUAGUUGAGAAGGGUCAUUUCAGGUGUAAUGAACACAGGGGCUUGGAAUGCAUACACCUAAUAAAAUCGGGGGUGGAAGAGGCACCUGCACAAAAGUGUUACAAGGACUAUCGUGUUUGUUUACUGCUACUAUGCCAGAUGUGCUAAAUAUAACACUUCUUUAAAACAGUGAUCCGCCAACUGAAAAACCAGACCUCUGGCUGCCUGACUCCCUAGGAAUCAGGGAGAUGCACAGACUGAAAAUCGGGGAGGAAAGGAACAAGAUCAAGGAUGAGGAUUAGCAUCUGCAAAUUGAACUCUAUCUAAUUUGCAUGUUUAUUUCUUAGAAUUGUAAUUAAAUUUGUGUAAUAAAUGUUUUCCAUUUCAUUUGUAUACUUAAAAUUUGGGUGACUGACAUGCAGUUAAGUGAAUUUCCUUUUUCCUUUUUAAAGAAAAUGUGGUUUAUUCAAUAAAGCAGCAAACAAAUAUUAAGCAUAAUUAGAACUAAUCUGUUUUGAAGGUGUUUUUGUUGAACUUUGUACAUUAAAGACACUCAGAGGUUUC